UUCCAAGUGCAACUCUGGGUUUACUACAGAAGAGUGUUGGAACUAAUAGGAAUGCUCACCAUGGAUGAGGAAAAACUGCAACUUCUGAGCUUGGUAUCAAAGGCAGGUUGGCACACCUCUGAGAGGACAUGUGUCCCCAGAUCUGCAAUGGUCCCACCCAUAUUUCCAAAACCAGCCACUUCUCCUUCUAACGAGGGUCCCUCCCCUCUCUUGCUACAGCCUGCAGCGUGCUCAAGGCUUCCCUUGCCUUUGUGUGGUCAUUAAAACGAGCGGUUUUUCUGGUGGAGAGAAAAAGCUUUUUGAACACUUCAUUCACCAAUAUGCAAAUCAAAACCCAAUUAUAGAGACACCGACAGAUCAUGGGGCUUGCUGAAAAUGUUCCCAAUUCUGCAGGCAUCUUCUACCUGCAAUUGUCAGUGCACUGUGUGUGGCAGCAAGUCUCAAAGGUGGCAUCCCAAUCAUUCUUCACCUCCCUGUACUUGUAU
rnacentral:lncRNA from 1 species